rnacentral:rRNA from 1 species
GUUGAACGCUGGCGGCAGGCCUAACACAUGCAAGUCGAGCGAGCGGCGGACGGGUGAGUAAUGUCUGGGAAACUGCCUGCUGGAGGGGGAUAACUACUGGAAACGGUAGCUAAUACCGCAUACCAUCAGAUGUGCCCAGAUGGGAUUAGCGGGUAGGUGGGGUAACGGCUCACCUAGGCGACGACCCCUAGCUGGUCUGAGAGGAUGACCAGCCACACUGGAACGGGGACACGGUCCAGACUCCGACGGGAGGCAGCAGUGGGGAAUAUUGCACAAUGGGCGCAAGCCUGAUGCAGCCAUGCCGCGUGUGUGAAGAAGGCCUUCGGGUUGUAAACCUCUGGCGCUAUCGAACGGGUAGGUGGAGAAGAAGCGCCGGCUAACUACGUGCCAGCAGCCGCGGUAAUUC